rnacentral:rRNA from 1 species
AUUGAACGCUGGCGGCAUGCCUUACACAUGCAAGUCGAACGGCAGCGGACCUUCGGUGCCGGCGAGUGGCGAACGGGUGAGUAAUAUAUCGGAACGUACCUUUCAGUGGGGGAGUAACGUAGCGAAAGUUAACGCUAAUACCGCAUAUUCUGUGAGCAGGAAAGCAGGGGAGUCGCAAGACCUUGCGCUGAUUGAGCGGCCGAUAUCAGAUUAGCUAGUUGGUGAGGUAAAGGACUCACCAAGGCGACGAUCUGUAGCGGGUCGUGAGAGGAUGAUCCGCCACACUGGAACUGAGACACGGUCCAGACUCCUACGGGAGGCAGCAGUGGGGAAUUU